UUACCUUUAAUAUCUGAAACGCGACAUACCGAGUCGCUUGUAUAUUAAAAUGAUGUUUGAAUCUAGACCAUGGAAUAGGGGCUUGCUCCAUCCUGGUCACGGGUUGGCCCGGUAUUGCAGAACCUUCGGGAUCGGCCCACCCCUC
rnacentral:snRNA from 1 species